CACAGACUACUCACCAUGGAGUUCUUGCCUGACUGGGUUUUCCUUGUUGCUCUUUUUUCAGGUGUCCAGUGUGAGGUGCAGCUGGUGGAGUCUGGGGGAGACCUGGUGAAGCCUGGGGGGUCCCUGAGACUCUCCUGUGCAGCCUCUGGAUUCACCUUCAGUAGUAACGACAUGAGCUGGGUCCAUCAGGCUCCAGGGAAGGGGCUAAAGUGGGUCGCAUGGAUUAGCUAUACUGGUGGUAGCUCAUACUAUGCAGACUCUGUGAAGGGCCAAUUCACCAUCUCCAGAGACAAUGGCAAGAAUACACUGUAUCUGCAGAUGAACAGCCUAAGAGCCAAGGACACCACCAUGUAUUACUGUGGGAAAGGCACAGUGUGGGGAAGUCAGUGUGAGCCCAGACACAAAUUUCAACAUUGUAGGGGAUCUGGACCACCAGGGACUGCACACUACUCACCAAUUCUGUCUUUAAGCCCCAGGAGCAGAUGCAGAUGGAGGUUAUGGGCAGGUUUCCUGUCAGGUUCUGGGACUUCCUCUCCAUAA